rnacentral:rRNA from 1 species
AUUGAACGCUGGCGGCGGGCCUAACACAUGCAAGUCCAACGGUAACAGGAAGCAGCUUGCUGCUUUGCUGACGAGUGGCGGACGGGUGAGUAAUGUCUGGGAAACUGCCCGAUGGAGGGGGAUAACUACUGGAAACGGUAGCUAAUACCGCAUAACGUCGCAAGACCAAAGAGGGGGACCUUAGGGCCUCUUGCCAUCGGAUGUGCCCAGAUGGGAUUAGCUAGUAGGUGGGGUAACGGCUCACCUAGGCGACGAUCCCUAGCUGGUCUGAGAGGAUGACCAGCCACACUGGAACUGAGACACGGUCCAGACUCCUACGGGAGGCAGCAGUGGGGAAUAUUGCACAAUGGGCGCAAGCCUGAUGCAGCCAUGCCGCGUGUAUGAAGAAGGCCUUCGGGUUGUAAAGUACUUUCAGCGGGGAGGAAGGGAGUAAAGUUAAUACCUUUGCUCAUUGACGUUACCCGCAGAAGAAGCACCGGCUAACUCCGUG